GCACCAAGCUUGACAUCCCCUGAUUCCUGAAGAAGUUAACUGGAGGAGCAUUUCAUUUGGAGCAUUAGAGCUUGUGCAGCUCGGAUAUUCCUGGAGCAAGAAUGGGGAAGUCCAAGCGUAACAACGUCAAGAAGAGCAUCUGGCAGCUCCUCUGCGGCUGCUCAUCACCUCAGACGAGCGAUUAACUGAGACUGCAACACACGAUAUUAAGGAGAAUAAAGUUGCUCAUGCUGAUGGACGUUGGGCUCAGGGGUUGAUGUGAUUACAAGGUGUCGGAAAGUUAUUGAUUGUUUCAUUAAAUUGUCUGUAGAUUUAUUCGUGUUGAAUUUAGUUCCGUUGUAGUAAAGGAAAUUCAAGUCUCUUGUAACCAGAUUCUGAAAUAAAACCGUUUCACCUUGUAUCAUGGCUAUGGCCUAAAAUA